UAUAUUUUGGUGUAUGAUGCACUAAAAAUUUUGAAUUUUUAAGAAAUAGUUUAAUUCUAUUAUUUAUAA